CUGAGGUAGGAGAAUGAAUGUGUGCAGAGCGUGUCGUGGAGUGCCUGAGGUCUCUUGUGCUGGAGUCAGCACAUUCACCAGCCAGCAGCUGUCAGAGAUGGUGGCGUCCCCGCCUCUGAACUUAAACACCAGCAACAGCUCUAGGAUGCACAGCUCCAACUGGAAUGCACGGGCCCCACAACACGUGGUCAGCGCCCACUGGGGCAGGGAUGGAGUCCAGCUGAUUGCACUGGAGAAGAAGCUCUCGGGGACCUGGAAGCUGAUGAGGGGAGACACAGGCAUGAAAGAGUGCCAGCAGGCCAUGCAGGGAAGGAAUCUGCUGAACAGCACAAGGCAGUUUCCAGAGCCAGACUCUUCCACCUUGGCAGAGAGGCAUUUUCAUGCUGUCCUAACACUUCCUGCUCUUGCUGGAGUCCACUAGCAGCUUGUCACUGAAGCAGGCAGCCUCUUGGCUUGCCGCUGGACCUCUCCAUGGAGCCUGUCCCUUCCCAGUCACGCAGGGUGUGGGGCUGCUUAUCAUUCAAAAUGUUGCCCAGCACUAUACUCAGGGCCCAGCAUUUCUGCUAACCAUUGUGAAGCCAUGGCACUGGGAGGGGCAGUAAUACCAGAGAAGAAUCUGAAGAAUCAAACAGCUCUUCCGAGUCAAACUGAAGAGGCAAGAAUCUCAGCAUUUCAUCUGGACUUGGGGUCUUUCCAUGUAUUGCAGACAGGAUGAAUACAGCACUGCUCACUUCAUUUCACCAGACCUGGGCUCAAAGACUCCCGAGGCUCAGGGAAGACUCUCACCCCACAGAAACCUGCUCUAACCAAUAUCCAGAUGGAGAGUGGGCUGGAAAGUAGGUGCCAGGCACAGGUUGGUGCUGAGCCCCCAUGCUGCCUGGGGCCGCCUCUGCCUCCUGACCCUGAGAUGGGUGCAUUUCGGCUGAGCAAGCUGUUGAGAUGACAGCUGGGAGUUCCCGGGGCAGGCACACUCCAGCAAAUACUCUACGAGCCCCUAGUACCUUCCACAGGCAGGGCUCAGAGAGCUUUGCAAACAGGGAGGAAAAGAGACUUGCCCAGAUCACACGAUGAGUCGGUAGCAGGACUGUUUUCCAUCGAGGCCUCAGCUGUAGCUGCUAGUCCAGCCCCCUCUUCAGAAAGAGAAGACCUUUCCGUUCCCUUUCUCUCUACCAGUGCAGAGCUUUCUCUGCUUCCCUUUCAUACCUGCAUUCGCCUGCAGAUUCUCUUUUCUCCCCCCCAGUUCCUUUUCCUCUGAGCCCAGCAAAAUACCUCUCUCUCUGAGAUGCCUUCUUUUAAAUGGCAAGUUUAAAGCAGCAGGGUUCCUGGGGACUUAGGUGUCUCUGUUCUGACUAAGAAAAGAGCUCCUUCCUCCCUGACGUGCAGCUCCUGACAGCCCCGCUCUGGUCUGUGUGGAAGCAGAGCGCAGGGGGCUGAGGCCGCAACUAAUUAACAGCCCUUGUUAACAAUAUAUUGUGCUUGGCUUCGCUGAGGUUUCCCUGAGCAGGGGAAUGCUGGGACUGAGAGAUAUGUAGCGAGGAAGGCAGUGGGGGAGGGGGCAGGGGAUGACAAUAUUCAUUUCUUUCUUUACUUCCAUUUCUAAAAUCAAAAAAGUGCCUCUUUAGCUCUAGGCGCCCUGGCGUCUAUUAAAAUACCACAUAGGAAAUUGUAAAAUAGAGGAAAACAACCCAAUCAGCCUGACCCCGUAACAAACUCCAGCCACAGUCAAAGUCACAGCAUAAACAAACUGAGGCCUUGCUCCACCGCAAAGCCUGGCCCGUCCCCUCCCUGUGCCCACCCCUUCUCAAUGCCUGGCAAACUGGAUGGACCCUGUAGCCAGCCCUGAAGGCUAAUAGCAGAUCUGAGCCAUUUCAGAGGGUGAGAGGUGAUGGCCCUCCUCCCUGCACCUUCCUCCCACGGGAACGCAGGAAGCUCCAGCACCUCUGUUCAACGUAGCCAGUGCAGUAUCACGGCACGUGGUAUGUUGCAUGGUGUGUAUCGCACCGUGUUGUCAGCAGGUUUUAAACCCUAUCACCAGAGCGUCUUCCCUAACCCUGCAAGCAGCCUCUUGUGCUCAAUGAACAAAUGAGACAACGCUUGUACCCACAAGAAGACACCGAAAACACCAUCCGCUCCACAAGCAACUUCCUCAAAUAGCCCUCUGAGUCUUCUCGAUGGGAAGGGAGAGGAGCCACUCGAAAGCAGCUCAGCUCACUCCUGCCAGAGAGACUGCUGGUAACAAAGGCAGCCAAUACAUUUAGUGAUAUCAGCCUGAUGCCUAAUAUUCAUCCAGCUCCGGGAGGUCAUCCACUACAGCAACCAGAGUAAGCCCGGCAACAAGAGUGCUCUGUAUCCACAUAAGGUUCAAGAAGCAGAGGCAUCUCAAUGCUGAGAGUCAUCUCAUUGCAAGCUCCCAAGUUCCCUUGCCCAUAAAGGAAAGAUUUACACUAACUCAGAAGCUGGCCAGACCUUCAAGGCCAAAGAACUAAUGUUUCCUUCCAAGUCAAAUGCAUCCUGUGCUCCUUGAUGACAAUUUCAACCAACAAUAGGCCCAGGACUUCCCCACCAACCUUAUACCAGCCAGGAGGGACCUGACUCUGAAUCACUGGUUUUGGUCCGAAGGUUACUAAACACUUCUAGUCCUUUGGUGCAGACACUGGCUGAAAGUCAGGCAGAGAAGCCCUUGUGUUUAUCCCAUUGCGAUCUCUCUCUGUUACCCUGGACACAGAUAUUUCAGCUGGAGCCUCAACAAUUUUCUCUGCAUAAUAGCUUGAAAUUUCCUCGCAGCAGCAGGCACUGAAAUCAGCAUCCCAGCAGAGACAGCCUGGAUUAAUCAGGCUGGCCACAACUCAGAACAAACCUGCUGAUUAAGACUUGGCAGAGGCUCCAGUGUACGCUAAGGACCUUCCCUUGCCUCCUGCACAGCCACAGCAUGAGAGCUCAAGAAUCUUUAUGAAACAAUUGAAUGCAUUCUCCCAGAGACUCACAGCUCUGGUCUCCAGCCUUUCUUCCCCACCCCACCCCCCACCCUCCCCCCGCUCCGCUCCUUUCAUCUGCUGCAGGUCUCCUUGACAGCAAAGUGAACAAGGUGGCAUAGCCAUGUGCAAGAGGGCACGUAGCAGCCACGCUACCAGUCACAGAGGAUGAAAGUGUGUCAAAAAGUCAUUUGUAGCCAUCAAGAGAGUGGUCCACUGGGAUGCUCUGCAUGCAUGAUUAGAUGGAUACUAAAAACCUUGUGAAGAGAUAAGAGCCUGCACAUCUGGGAUGGAGAAGGAGAAGACAAGAGAGAUGUGUAAUGAGGUUUUAAUUCAGGGUUUGGAUUCUUUAUUAUAUUUCCAUUGAACCCUAAAUUCCCCAUCUGGGUCCUUUUUAGGCCUUUGUUUCUACAUCCUGAGACCCGGGCAAAUUCAUCCUCAUUUACAACAAGAGUUGGACCUUUAGCACAGUCUUCCGAAGGGAGCAGAUGCACUUUUUAGCAGCAUAGGACAACAUUCCCAACAUGUUCUGUGUUAGUAGGGGUUUGAAUGAUAGCACUUCUUAGUAAAAGAAUUAUACUGGGUGGCUAACUCUAGUCAGAAUCAUCCCUCCACCAGAAGGCCAGCAUACCUCUGCUUGGAGAGUGAGACGACAACUCCUGGCAGGGGGUUAGAAGCAGACCCCAUGGUCUCCAUCUUACCCCCUGCAGCACAAAACUCUCCACAUGAAUUUAGCUGGUCCACACCACUCCCGUUCCCCACCCCUGCCCUGAGGUUUCCCAGUCCUGGUCCCUGCCCUUCCCACCUCUAUUUCUUCCUUUAUACUUUGCACUCUCCCUAACCCAGCUUCAAACUAUCCUUGCCUUUAACAGCUACCCCCUGCAUUCUGCCCUGACCCUCAAGCCUUGCCAGCACCAGCCACAGUCCCAAGAGCUUGGCAAGAAUUCCCAAGGCAUCACCCUAGUCACUGAGGUAGAAGAAGAGAAAGUGGGGUUUACCAAAUCAUUUGAAAAAGCUUCCAACAUAACCCUGUUACUACCAAUGUCUGGGAGGAUGCUUAAGAUGUCUCUGGGCCCAGCAUAUGCUUUGCUUGAACAGUGCACUCCAUUUGCAUAUGUCUUGGAUACAUGUAUAAUUCACUUAAUUACAUUAUAAUUUUUUGCCUGUUCCUUAUAUUAUAAUAAAUAUGGAUUAUCUUCA